AUGGGGCACAAAACCGGAAAUCCAAGCAAGCUUGGCGAAAUUCCACUGCAUUCAAAAUUGUUAUUCCUGCUUAAUGUCUAGGGUGGCAUAGGUCCUGCUGGGCAUUCUACAGACGAUCUCUAUGUGCUUGAUUUAACCAACGAUAAGUUUAAAUGGCACAGAGUGGUUGUACAUGGACAAGGACCUGGGCCUCGGUAUGGCCAUGUAAUGGACUUAGUUGCUCAAAGAUAUCUUGUUACUGUCAGUGGAAACGAUGGAAAAAGAGUUCUUUCUGAUGCAUGGGCUCUGGAUACUGCCCAGAAACCUUAUGCAUGGGCAAGGCUGAACCCAGAAGGUGACAGGCCUUCUGCUAGAAUGUAUGCAACAGCCAGUGCCCGCUCAGAUGGCAUGUUUUUGCUUUGUGGUGGAAGAGAUAUUUCUGGAGCGCCACUAGCAGAUGCUUAUGGACUGCUCAUGCAUAGGAAUGGUCAGUGGGAGUGGACCCUUGCACCUGGAGUGUCCCCUUCACCAAGAUAUCAACAUGCUGCGUAAGUUUUCUUAAUACCUUUUUUGUUUGUUCUUUUUCCGUAUUUGAUAGUAUUGGACACUGCUGCCGGAGUUUGGCUAGACAGAAAUGGGCUUGUGACUUCCUCACGGACGGGAAAGGGACAGAAUGACUAUGAUCCUCCCUUGGAGCUUAUGCGUCGUUGUCGCCACGCUGCUGCAUCUCUUGGUGUUCGUAUAUAUAUUUAUGGAGGUCUUAAGGGAGACAUCCUGCUAGAUGACUUCCUGGUUGCAGAAAAUUCAUCAUUUCAAUCUGAAAUUGGUUCGCCUGUUUUAACAUCUGAGAGAUCGCCAACUGUAACAAGUCCCAGACCGUUUCACGCAAACACAAGUACUUUUGGAACAUCACCAUCUUCGGAUGGCGAACCUGAGAGCCCGCCAUCCAGAGGUUUGAGCAUGGACAAAAAUUCUAUGGAGAAACUACGGGAGGCUUCUGCAGCCGAAGCUGAGGCAGCUAGUGCUGUUUGGCAAGCUGUGCAGGCAACAUCUGCCACUCCUGCUGAAGAAACUUCUGUUUCGGAUGAUAACUCACAUGUUGCAGAAACAUUGUCUGAUGGUAGUGACACUGAGGCAGAUGUUCGCCUUCAUCACUGAGCUGUUGUCGUUGCCAAAGAGGCUGUAGGUAACCUGGGUGGGAUGGUAAGACAGUUGUCUUUGGAUCAAUUUGAAAAUGAGAGUAGACGAAUGAUUCCAAUGAAUAACGACUUAUCACAUCCUAACAAAAAGUUUACCAGGCAGAAGUCUCCACAGGGCCUACAUAAGAAGAUUAUAUCUACAUUGCUGAGACCUCGGAACUGGAAAGCUCCUGUGAAUAGGAAGUUUUUCUUGGAUUCUUAUGAAGUGGGAGAACUUUGUUAUGCUGCUGAGCAGAUCUUUAUGCAGGAGCCAACAGUUCUUCAGCUGAAAGCCCCUGUUAAAGUAUUUGGCGAUCUUCAUGGACAGUUUGGUGAUUUAAUGCGCUUAUUUGAUGAAUACGGAUUUCCAUCUGCUGCGGGAGACAUAACGUAUAUUGACUACUUGUUUUUGGGGGAUUAUGUUGAUCGAGGACAGCACAGCUUGGAGACCAUAACUUUGCUCCUUGCACUUAAGAUUGAGUAUCCUGACAAUGUUCACUUAAUACGUGGAAACCAUGAGGCAGCUGAUAUCAAUGCACUUUUUGGUUUUCGUAUUGAAUGCAUUGAGCGAAUGGGAGAGAAUGAUGGAAUAUGGCAAUGGACACGGUUCAAUCAACUUUUCAACUAUCUCCCACUUGCUGCACUAAUUGAAAAGAAAAUUAUUUGUAUGCAUGGAGGCAUUGGAAGAUCUAUAACUUCAGUAGAACAGAUUGAGAAGCUUGAAAGACCCAUUACAAUGGAUGCUGGGUCUAUAAUCUUAAUGGAUCUGCUGUGGUCUGAUCCUACAGAAAACGAUAGUGUAGAGGGCUUGAGACCAAAUGCCAGAGGGCCUGGUCUUGUCACAUUCGGGCCUGAUCGUGUCACGGAUUUUUGUAAGAGAAAAAAAUUACAACUUAUUAUAAGAGCUCAUGAAUGUGUUAUGGAUGGGUUUGAAAGAUUUGCCCAGGGACAAUUGAUCACCCUCUUUUCUGCAACUAACUAUUGUGGUAAGCAAAUUUCUGGUCAGUUUCUUUCUAUGUUCUGGUGUUUGCAAUCUCAUAUGGCCUUUUCAUGUAGGAACGGCAAACAAUGCUGGUGCUAUACUGGUUGUUGGCAGAGGCUUGGUUGUGGUUCCAAAAUUAAUUCAUCCUUUGCCACCUCCUCUUCAGUCACCGGAGACAUCUCCGGAACGGGUCAUAGAGGACAUGUGGAUGCAGGAGCUAAACAUUCAAAGACCGCCAACUCCUACACGUGGCCGACCACAGCCUGAUCUUGAUCGGAACUCACUUGCAUAUAUAUAU